CGGAUAUCGCUCCUACGCUGGAAUGCCGGGAGCGUGAAAAGCUCCGGCGCCACAGGAUGCGGCUGCGGCCGAUUAGGUAGACGGUGGGGUAACGGCCCACCGUGCCGAUAAUCGGUACGGGUUGUGAGAGCAAGAGCCCGGAGACGGACUCUGAGACAAGAGUCCGGGCCCUACGGGGCGCAGCAGGCGCGAAACCUUUACCCUGCACGACAGUGCGAUAGGGGGACACCGAGUGCGAGGGCAUAGAGCCCUCGCUUUUGUGUAUCGUAAGGAGGUACACGAAUAAGGGCUGGGCAAGACCGGUGCCAGCCGCCGCGGUAACACCGGCAGCCCAAGUGAUGGCCGCUAUUAUUGGGCCUAAAGCGUCCGUAGCCGGCCGGGCAGGUCCGUCGGGAAAUCCACUGGCUCAACCAGUGGGCGUCCGGCGGAAACCGCUCGGCUUGGGACCGGAAGACCAGAGGGGUACGUCUGGGGUAGGAGUGAAAUCCCGUAAUCCUGGACGGACCACCGGUGGCGAAAGCGCCUCUGGAGAACGGAUCCGACGGUGAGGGACGAAAGCUAGGGUCUCGAACCGGAUUAGAUACCCGGGUAGUCCUAGCCGUAAACGAUGAUCGCUAGGUGUGGCGCAGG
rnacentral:rRNA from 1 species